GACAAAAGGAGGACUGACCUUGGCCUGGAAUUCAAAGCAAAAGCAGCUCAUAAACUUCUAAAGCAAGCAGGAGAUAAAUAUCCUUAGUCAUAAAAGAACAAACGAAGUUUGGGGUGGGGGGACGGGGGAAAAAAAAGCAGAACUUUUUUUUUUUUUUGAAAUACAGUAAAAUGUGUUGCCAAGUUUUUCAGGAAGUGCUAGUGGCCAUUUUGAUGAUGUGAACUAGAUUUUAAAACAGAAAGAGGAAAAAUGAAUGUGGUGGACAAGGGCUGCUGACAAUAUUAGAUAGAAUCAGAGACCAGGUUUCGCCAUGUUGGCCAGGCUGGUAUCCAACUCUUGACCUCAAGUGAUCUGCCCACCUCAGCCUCCCAAAGUGCUGGAAUUACAGGCGUGAGCCACAGCGUGCGGCACCAGCAUUCUUAUAAGAAAAGAGAAAUGGACGCAGAGGUACACAGAGAGAACACCAUGUGAAGACAGAGGCAGAGAUUGGAGUCGUUCUCAUCUACAAAGCUGAAGAAUUCCAAGGAUUGCCACUAAUCACCAGAACCCAAGAGGGGAGCAAGGAACAGAUUCUCCCUCAGAGCCUCAAAAAAGAAACCAACCCAGUGAACACCUUGAUUUCUGACUUCUGAACUCCAGAAUCACAAGAGAACACAUUUCUCUUGUUUUAAGUCACCCGAUUUGCGAAUUUGCUAUACUUCCUUUUGGCAACCAUGGGAAACAAACACAGUCGCUAAGAAGGUGUCUCGCUCUCAGAUUUUAUCAGCUAUCCUCACUGCUCUGGACCUAGGCUCUAGGAGACAGUUUGGAAAGGAGAGACGGCGGCUGGGUGAGAGGACAGAGGGCUUGGGAGCCUGGGGGUGGCAUCACAGGAUUUCUCCGCGUCACCUUGGUCGGUGACAUGGUUUCCUGAGCAUGUGCGUCAGCCCUUGGAGAUGUCCAGCGUAAGUCAAAGCCUUUGUUCCCUACGAUAACCUUGAGAGAUGACUCAGUAGAGAAGAAGGCAGGCUGUGGGGUGGGGGAAAUGGUCAGUGCAGCUACAAAUGAGAGCCUGUUCCUGGCUCAAGGGGAGGACAAGGCAGAAAAACAACAACAGUAAUUACCAUUCCCUGUUGUUUCCCUGGACCGACCUCCCCUCGUCCUCCACCCGGAUGAUCCUGAGGCCUAACUCUCCUCUCUGUCCUCACCCUGCACCCAUUCUUCCCCACCAUCUGUUUUAUUAUUUUUUUAAUUCCACUUUAUGGAGAAAUAUAACUUACAUAAAAUAAAACACACCAAUUUUGAGUGUAGAGUUCAAUAAAUUUUGAUAAAAUGCUUAUCAAAUCCUACCCGAUGAUAAAAUGUUUAUCAAAACAUAGUGUUGUGUAACCACCAACACAAUCAAGAUGUAGAACAUUCUUCUUCACUCCCUAAAAUUCCCCCUCCACGCUCCCCAGCUACCUGCCCACACCCACCCAUUCCCUCAGGCUUCUGGCGACCAUUGAUCUGCCUUUCGUCACCGUAGAUGAGUGCAAUCAUUUCUAUCCUUUCAUAGAAAUGAAAUUGCCCAGUAUAAACUUCUCUUUAUCUGGCAUUUUUUGUGUUGUUCAGCAUCAUGUUUUUGAGCUCAGCUUUCAUGUUGUUGCAGAGAUCAAUGGUUGCUUUUUA
rnacentral:lncRNA from 1 species